rnacentral:rRNA from 1 species
UGGGGAAUCUUCCGCAAUGGACGAAAGUCUGACGGAGCAACGCCGCGUGUAUGAUGAAGGUCUUCGGAUUGUAAAGUACUGUCAUUGGGGAAGAACGGUUUUCUUGAAAAGAUUGAGAAGACAUGACGGUACCCAAGGAGGAAGCCCCGGCUAACUACGUGCCAGCAGCCGCGGUAAUACGUAGGGGGCAAGCGUUGUCCGGAAAUUAUUGGGCGUAAAGGGCGCGUAGGCGGGCCUUUAAGUCCGGUGUGAAAGAUCAGGGCUCAACCCUGAGAGUGCAUCGGAAACUGGAGGCCUUGAGGACAGGAGAGGAAAGUGGAAUUCCACGUGUAGCGGUGAAAUGCGUAGAUAUGUGGAGGAACACCAGUGGCGAAGGCGACUUUCUGGACUGUAACUGACGCUGAGGCGCGAAAGCGUGGGGAGCAAAACAGGAUUAGAUACCCUGGUAGUCCACGCCGUAAACGAUGAGUGCUAGGUGUAGAGGGUAUCGACCCCUUCUGUGCCGCAGUUAACACAAUAAGGCACUCCCGCCUGGGGAGUACGGCCGCAAGGUUGAAAACUCAAAAUGAAUUGACGGGGGUCAUAGCUG